rnacentral:piRNA from 1 species
UGAUGAAGGCCUACCUCUCCAGC